GGUUGUUUGGGUCCACCAGCUCUAUGUUGCCCAGGGCGCAACGACUACUGCCGAAGAGGGUGUUACUGUGACGAGUACUGUGUGACAGUGGGUGACUGCUGUCCUGACUAUAAUCCAACCUGUAAACAAUCAAGCAGUACAACACUUGCACCACUUAAUGUGACCACAACCUCAGGAUCCAGUCUUUCUUCAACAUUUUCUCCCACCUCUAGUAAUUCAGCUAUAGCGAUUGCUCACCUAAAAGUGUCCUUACUAUCUAAUUUUGAAACCAAAGAACAAGCGAUAUCAGAAAUUUCAUCACUUCUUCAGAGACUUGUGCAGCAGAGAUGUACUGGCUGUGCCGUGACGGUAAAGCCCGUGUGAGGCUUUGGACAAUGAAAGCAUGAAUUAGAAUGAAGCAACACGGUGAUGACAGACUCCAACACUCACAAUAAAAUCUAAUUAAACCGGUAAAGUUAACUGACUGUUUCAGAAUGAAUAAAGUGACAGACACUUUUUCUCAACUAGUAGUA